AGAAGAAGAAGCCAGACCAGGAAAGUGAAAGGAAAUGGAUAUCGCUGCUGGAGGCAACGACUAAUUUAAGCAGAGUAGGAGAAAAACUCUUUUUUUUUUUCCUUUGUGCCAGUUCCUUUUACACGACUUCAGAACAUUCUAUGACAACCCAGCGUGCAACUUGGCACUGUCAGAAGAGUCCUGGGAAAGAAAGGAAAUGCGUUUUUCAGAACUUUACUAGGGGUAGUUGAUCCAAAUGGCAUUAUUGGAUGUGGUGGUUUCCGGACACCCACCUGUGACACUGCGGUGACCGGUCUCCUGUCUGGCCUGAAGUGGAUCUGGACCCCACACAGUCCCCAUGUACAGCUGAUACCAGGCUGAAGUGGAUCAGGAGGCUGAGGAACUAAGCCAGUGUCAGGUGGUGCACCAGGCUGCCCAAGUGGAGGCUUAGAUGAACACAGGAUGAUUAUGGAGCAAUACUUGAAGCCCAAAUGAAGCUCUGAACCCGGAGACUUCUCAAAACCUGUCAUCAAUGCUCUAACUCUUCUGUGGCCACCUCCUUCUACUGGAGUUUAGCCAGAAAAUGAGAAAACCAAUAUUGGACUGUACUGGACAGGACAUAUGUACUAUAUCAGAUUCUCCCUGGCCACAUGCAUAGAGUCUCUGUCUUUUCCCACCACUUUAAAGACAUUGAUAAAAUGCCAUACCACAGGGCAUGAGAUCUGGCAUCCCAAGUUGCCACCAGCAAACCUAGAAGUGU
rnacentral:lncRNA from 1 species